rnacentral:lncRNA from 1 species
ACGAACAAGCCGGACGGGCCAGCGUCCGUCGGGCUAAACCUAACCUAACCUUUAACUGUUACGGUUGUUUUGCUUCCUUUUUUAAACCUUAUAAACAAAGGAUUAUCACGUCCCCACCGCAAUUUUAUAGCUACGUAAAUAAAACUAUACCGCCGCCAUAGAAGGUGUGAGAGCACAACUAGGGCUAUGGGACGUUGACAAUGACUCCAUCCCUGUCACAAGGAACCGCUAUACGGAAACUGGGAAAAUUGGUCGUUGAAUUCUUCAAUAAUGAAAUAAUCUUCGUACAUUGCUGUAAUCAACAAAAACGAAAUCUCAACUCGAAGGAGGACAACAAUGUGGUUGGCGGUGGUUAGAGGUGGUCGGAGAUGGUUAGGGGUGGUCGUUGGUGGCGGAUGGCGGCGGUUGGAGGUGAUCGAGGUAGACAAGGAGGAGGACAAGGGGGAGAAAGACGAGGAAGACAAGGAGAACGAGGAUUUCUGCACGACAUAACCAGAGGUGGUCAGCGGUGGUCGUUGAAGGUGGUUGGCGGUGGUUGGAGGUGAUCGGUGGAGCUUGAGGGUGGUUGCGGGUAAUCGUGGGAAACGAGGAGUGGGAGGACUAUUGCACUAUUCCGACGUGCUUUUUUGCUCGCCAUUUCUCUCCUCUUGGUCCCACGCUCUUUUUGCUGCGUUUU